GCAGUGGUGAUUCAAUGGUAGAAUCCUCACCUUCCAUGUGGGAGACCCGGGUUCAAUUCCCGGCCAGUGCA
rnacentral:tRNA from 1 species